UCAAUUCAAUCCAAACCAAUCCACACCGUUUUUCUGUUCGAUUCUUGAUCUUAAUUCGUAGAGCGUAGAACGAACAGUAGAACUUACAGCACGAUUACAAAGUCUUUAUGCGCUUCAACAUGAUGUCAUGGCUAAGAAAGCCGAUCAAAGGCGUCCUAAUGGACAUCACUGGCGUUCUGUAUGAAAGCGGUCAGAAGAAACCAAUACAGGGAUCGGUAGAAGCUGUAAAGAUGCUGCGAGACGCUAAAAUACCAUUUCGAUUUGUCACAAACGAAACAACGAGAGCAGAGUUGGAGCUUCUGGAGUUGCUUCACCGUCUUGGGUUUGAGAUAGCCGAAAAUGAAAUUUUAUCGUGCGUCCCUGCAGCUUUGAGGCUCAUCGAAGAAAUGGAGUAUCGUCCUUACCUGCUGGUACAUCCUAAUAUUUUACCAGAAUUUGAAAAUUGUAACACGACCAAGCCCAACUGUGUUGUACUUGGCGACGCUGGUGAAAAUUUUUCCUACGAGAACUUGAACAGCGCCUUCGAAGUGCUGGUUGAUAACCCUGAUGCUGUCCUCAUCACCUUAGGAAAGGGCAAAUAUUACAGGGAACAAGGUGAACUCGUUUUGGAUGUUGGGGCAUAUGCAGCAGCCCUUGAAUACGCCUGCGAUCGUCGAGCGAUUGUCAUCGGCAAGCCGGGAGAAAAAUUCUUCAAAAUGGCAGUGAAUGACCUGAAAUUGCGUACCGAGGAGGUGGUGAUGAUUGGAGACGACGUCGUCUGCGAUGUUGGUGGCGCCAUGAGUGCUGGGAUACGUGGUGUUCUUGUCAAAACAGGAAAAUUUCGGUGGUAUAACGGCUGCUGCUAAGGAUGGUUUUCUUCCAAGUUUACGAACUGCCGUGAAGGAGGAGUACUGCCGAAGAGAUUUCAAAAGAAUCUUCCACUACCUGGGGAGCAGUUGUUCAGAAAACAAAAAAUGCGCGCCACAGUAAUCAUUCUUGCGUUGUGCCUUUCCAAGGGAGUUUUCGGUGUUCUCAACUGCCCCCUAAAAAUCACCCUUGGGUCGUGCAUCGCGAUGAUGUUCUACAAAUCCUGCAAGUCAGAUGAAGACUGCGUGUACCUCUGUUGCGAGUACAAAUGCAAGAAUUUCUGCUCCGAAAACUACUAAAAUGACCACAGGUUCGACGUGCGAAUAAAAUUUUUAAAAAUUG